AGUGAACGCUGGCGGCGUGCUUAACACAUGCAAGUCGAACGAGAACGGAAUAUAGCUUGCUAUAUUUGUCAGCUAAGUGGCGCACGGGUGAGUAAUGUAUAGAUAACCUGCCCUUAAGAAAGGAAUAACAGUUGGAAACGACUGCUAAUGCCCUAUAUGCCUUUAAUACAUAAGUAUGCAAGGGAAACGCUUUAGUGCUUAAGGAUGGGUCUGUAUGGUAUCAGCUUGUUGGUGAGGUAAUGGCUCACCAAGGCUAUGACGCCUAACUGGUUUGAGAGGAUGAUCAGUCACACGGGAACUGAGACACGGUCCAGACUCCUACGGGAGGCAGCAGUGGGGAAUAUUGCACAAUGGACGAAAGUCUGAUGCAGCAACGCCGCGUGGAGGAUGACACAUUUCGGUGCGUAAACUCCUUUUAUAUAGGAAGAUAAUGACGGUACUAUAUGAAUAAGCACCGGCUAACUCCGUGCCAGCCGCCGCUGUAAAAC
rnacentral:rRNA from 1 species